UUUUAAAAAUUAGGAAAAAUGAAUAACAAAUCUCUAUCCAUGUUUCUCCGUAUCUGUACUUGAAAUCUAGAACUGCAGAGAAUCCUUUCAUUUUUGUUUCCCUCCACAGAUCUCUAAACUUCAUUCUCAUCAAACCCUAAUUUCGGGUUGAUUCUAACUCCCUCGUUAUUUAUUCAUCACCCAACCCGUUUUUCUGAUUUUCUGCUAUCAAUUCUUCUAUUUAAACUUUAAAAUCUGGUCUGAUCGAUGAUUCUGGAACCUUCAUGAGUUUCCCUCUUCGUCAUGGGCCACUACCAUCCUUACCAUGCCUGAGCUGCGUACCCGAACUCGAAGAAACCGACUCGUAGACAACGCAAACGUUAUCCCGAUCAUUCAGCCAGCCUCGCCGGCGACCGCCAGAGCUCGACGGAGGAAGACAUCCGCCGCGCCUGCCCGAACGCGGAGGAAUCGGAGUCAGAACAAUGCGAUCGCCGCCGCCGAUGAAGUCGUGAACGAUUACGCUGGUGCUGCUUGCGGAGCCAGAAAUAGAAAUAGAAAUUUAAAAUACAAGCUAGGAGAGAAAGAGAAUAACAAUAAUAAAAUUUCGGCUAGGGUUUUUGAAGAGGAAGACAUGGAUGAAGACGAUAGUCGUGGCCGUAGCGCAGAUAAGGCUCCGGGAGCUGAAGAUGAAGGCAGCACUGCUCCUCUUCCGGAGAAGGUUCAAGUUGGUGGUUCUCCUUUGUAUAGAAUUGAGAGAAAACUUGGGAAGGGAGGAUUUGGGCAAGUCUAUGUUGGUCGGCGGAUAGGAGUUACGAAUUCUAGCGAACGGACUGGUGCCGGUGCUGUUGAGGUAGCUUUAAAAUUUGAACAUAGAAGCAGCAAGGGGUGCAACUAUGGACCGCCAUACGAGUGGCAGGUUUACAAUGCAUUAGGCGGUAGUCAUGGUGUUCCACGAGUACAUUUCAAGGGACGGCAAGGUGACUACUAUAUUAUGGUAAUGGAUAUGCUUGGUCCCAGUCUGUGGGAUGUUUGGAAUAACAACUCUCACACCAUGUCUACUGAAAUGGUAGCAUGUAUUGCAAUUGAGGCUAUCUCCAUAUUAGAGAAGAUGCAUUCUAGAGGAUAUGUGCAUGGUGAUGUAAAGCCUGAGAAUUUUUUGCUUGGACCCCCUGGAACUCCAGAUGAAAAGAAGUUGUUUCUUGUUGAUCUUGGGUUAGCAACUCGGUGGCGUGAUAAUUCGACUGGCCUUCAUGUUGAAUACGAUCAGCGUCCAGAUGUUUUUAGGGGCACAGUUCGUUAUGCUAGUGUGCAUGCUCAUCUUGGUAGAACAGGUAGCAGGAGAGAUGACUUGGAAUCUCUUGCUUAUACUCUUGUGUUCCUUCUUCGGGGUCGGCUUCCCUGGCAAGGAUAUCAGGGGGAAAAUAAAGGGUUUCUUGUCUGCAAAAAAAAGAUGGCCACCUCUCCAGAAACAUUGUGUUGCUUUUGUCCUCAACCUUUCCGGCAGUUUGUUGAAUAUGUAGUGAAUUUGAAGUUUGAUGAAGAACCAAAUUAUGCAAAAUAUAUAUCCCUCUUUGAUGGAAUCGUGGGCCCAAAUCCAGAUAUCAGGCCAAUAAACACCGAGGGUGCUCAGAAGCUUAUAUGUCAGGUUGGCCAUAAGAGGGGGCGUUUGACCAUGGAAGAUGAUGACGAUGAACAGCCUAAAAAAAAGGUUCGAAUGGGAAUGCCUGCUACACAAUGGAUUAGUGUUUACAAUGCUCGUCGACCAAUGAAGCAAAGGUAUCAUUAUAAUGUCGCCGAUGUGCGGUUAGCCCAACACAUUGAUAAAGGGAAUGAAGAUGGUUUAUUUAUCAGCAGUGUGGCUUCUUGUACUAAUCUUUGGGCACUCAUUAUGGAUGCUGGCACUGGUUUCACUGCACAAGUUUAUGAACUCUCUUCCUGCUUUCUUCAUAAGGAAUGGAUUAUGGAACAAUGGGAAAAUAAUUAUUACAUUAGUGCCAUAGCCGGAGCUCAUAAUGGAUGCUCAUUGGUUGUAAUGUCUAAAGGUACCCAGUACGUACAGCAAUCCUAUAAAGUCAGUGAUUCGUUUCCAUUUAAGUGGAUCAACAAAAAAUGGAGAGAAGGAUUUUAUGUAACUGCUAUGGCCACUGCUGGCACUAGAUGGGCAAUUGUUAUGUCACGUGGGGCUGGUUAUUCUGAUCAGGUUGUGGAACUUGAUUUCUUGUAUCCCAGUGAAGGUAUUCAUCGAAGGUGGGAUAAUGGUUAUCGCAUCACCUCAACUGCUGCAACACGGGACCAGGCUGCUUUUGUUCUUAGUGUCCCAAGAAGAAAACCAACUGAUGAAACUCAGGAGACACUCCGAACAUCUGCUUUUCCUAGCGCUCAUGUUAAGGAUAAAUGGGCAAAGAAUCUCUAUAUUGCAUCUAUUUGCUAUGGGAGAACAGUGUCAUAACCUGCUGAAAUUGAGAUUUCUGGCUGAAUUCUGAUCACUGGCACAAACCUGCUUCCUCUUACUUCUAGUUGGGAACUGAAGAUGCUUUCUGACCAAUUUUCUGAACAAUGCAGUUCAGUAUUAAUCUAUCUAAGCAUCUUCUCAGUUACUAGAUGUUUCAAAUAUUUGCCACUUAUUUGUGUAGGUAAUGGUGAGGAUAAAUUUUUACUACUGUUAUUCUAAUUACUUCUUUUGAUUUCCGAAGUCCACAUGAUGGGCUUCUCCUGGUCAAUUGUUCUAUAUGACUGGGUGAUCAUUUUAUUGUUCUAACAACAAACAUUGCAAGGUGAACACUUCGCUCUCUUGAGAAUGUAGCUUUCACGGAAGCACAUUUUGGAAGAUAACUUCUCUCCCCCUUCAAUACUGAUCUGUAUAUUUACCGAGUUACUUAGACACUUGAAGCAGAUUUUGGUUGGUCCUUGCAAUGUUAUGUUGUCAGAGCAACCUAUAUGGUCGAGGAAAUCAGAAGCUGUUCAAGAAACUGGUUUUUUUGGAACUAUUUGCUGUGUUCUUCGGCUAUUCAACAAACUGAAAGGCAAAAGUUCAAAUUGAUGUCUAAAUUCAUGCGACUUUUGAUUCUGGUAUUGGAAAAGCGGUGAAUUAUUGCAGUAUAGAGAGUGUGAAGUUGGGGAUCUAUUGCCUGCUAAUCAUUGUAUUUUGGAAGAUAAACUGUGUAGUAGUUAAGUAACUGAUAAUGAUAUGGAUAAUGUAUAAUAAACUUUGUAGUUAGUCAUAAUUAUAAUUGAUGGGUAAA